ACUUACACCCCUGGUGGUCGUGGAGCCUCCUGGAGAUCCGUGAGCGUCUUUACCCCGGGUCUCAGAACUUUUACCCCGUCGCUUAGCGCCCCCGUGGAUGGGUGGGAGCUCCCAGACCUGAGGGUCCCAGAACCCUGGGAGUCCACAUAUCCGGGUGCCACCCUCGAACCCGUUGGGGGUCCUGCUGCCGCCCGGAGGCCCCGCACACCCACCUCUCCGUCUGGUCCGCCCGUCCCGCGCGGGCUCAGGUUAGGUCGUUCGGAAUCCAACAGAUGGACGACUAGGAGCGGUCAGGCGGAAGGCGUCGCGACCGGGAUCCCAGGCCCGCUCAGCAACCGUCCCCGGGAUUCUGCUAGCACCGCCUGUCCAGCCGCGCCAGCAGCCCCGAGGACCCCGCCCCGAGCCCCCGCGCCAGCCAAUUCCGGGGAGGGUCCCGCCCACACUCCUGCCCUAUUGGGGAAAUUCAAUUUUGACUACCACGCCCCUAGUGGAGGCCCCGCCCUUCGCGGGCCCUGGAAGUACAGGAUUCCAGUCUUGGGGCCACUGCUCCUGCAACCUUGGCUGGUCGAGUGGGCGUCGCCAGGAGGACGCAACUUUGCGCCAAAGUCGGGGAGGGCGCGCGAAGCCAGGAUAAGGAAAAUGGAGCCUCCGAGAAGGUGUUGCGGCCAGCCCAGGCACACAGCCAUCAGUGGUCGAGCAGGAUUUGAAUCCACGUCUUCCUGACUCUGAGGCCAGGCUCUGAACCACUGUGUUACAGUCACCCCAUUGUGGGGCCUCUUUGCCAGACCCCAGCUGCCGGCCUGACUCAGCAUCUGUGGGUGGCCUCGCUCCAGUGCAUGGGCAGCAGAGCCAGUGAGAAGCCUCCCAGUUCCUUGAAAACCAAAUAUGGCCAGACCAGGCCCUCGGAGGUCUGACCCCCAGGCUGGGCCUGCUCCUGCCUGCUCCUCUGUGCUGUGGGGCCCUGCUCACUGUGCAGCCUCCUGGUUCUGCCCCAGAGGACUCUGGGAGAGCCCCCAUCCAGAUCCCCCUCUUCAUAGGAUCUUGUUGAGCAAGUUACUGAAGGAGAACACGCAAGACCAGUGUCUCUUCUGUGCUGUGGUGAUUCCCAGCUCCAAGCCUUGCUCACACAGUCCUCUCCGCCCGGACUUCCUCUCCCUCUCUAACCAGCUCUUAUGCAUUCUUUGGUGCCCAGUGUGAGUUGUCAGGACAUGUGUGACCCUGAGUAAAUCUCUCAUCCUCUCCAUCCAUCCGUCCAUCCAUUCACCCAUCCU
rnacentral:lncRNA from 1 species